ACUAUCCAAUCGAGUGACCACCCGAUCGGGUGACCACCCGAUCGGGUGACCACCCGAUCGGGUGACCACCCGAACGGAUUGU
rnacentral:pre_miRNA from 2 species